UACGGAGGGGGCUAGCGUUGUUCGGAAUGACUGGGCGUAAAGCGCGCGUAGGCGGGCGGUCAAGUUGGGGGUGAAAGCCCGGGGCUCAACCCUGGAACGGCCUUCAAUACUGACUGUCUAGAGUUCGAGAGAGGUGAGUGGAAUUCCGAGUGUAGAGGUGAAAUUCGUAGAUAUUCGGAGGAACACCAGUGGCGAAGGCGGCUCACUGGCUCGAGACUGACGCUGAGGUGCGAAAGCGUGGGGAGCAAACAGG
rnacentral:rRNA from 1 species